rnacentral:rRNA from 1 species
CCCUUAGAUGUUCUGGGCCGCACGCGCGCUACACUGUUCGACGCAGCGAGUCUUAACCUUGACCGAAAGGUUUGGGUAAUCUUCAGCAAAGUCGAACGUGAUGGGGAUCGAUCAUUGCAAUUAUUGAUCGUGAACGAGGAAUUCCUAGUAAGUCCAAGUCAUCAGCUUGCGCUGAUUACGUCCCUGCCCUUUGUACACACCGCCCGUCGCUACUACCGAUUGAAUGGUUUAGUGAGAUCUCUGGAUUGACGCUGGCUAGGGGGCGACCCUUGGCCAGACUGUUGAGAAACUGCUCAAACUUGAUCAUUUAGAGGAAGUAAAAGUCGUAACA